rnacentral:rRNA from 1 species
GAGGUCCUGCGCCGAAAAUGUCCGGGGCUAAAACACAACACCGAAGCUUAGGAAUUCUAAUGAAUUGGUAGAGGAGCAUUGAAGACGGAACGAAGCCAUACCGAAAGGAAUGGUGGACUGUCUUGAAGAGAGAAUGCCGGAAUGAGUAGCGAGAUUGAAGUGAGAAUCUUCAAGGCCGAAUAUCUAAGGUUUCCAGGGUAAAGCUGAUCUGCCCUGGGUAAGUCGGGGCCUAAGGCAAGGUCGAAAGACGUAGUCGAUGGAUAACAGGUUGAAAUUCCUGUACUGCAUCAAAUCAGAAAUGUGGGGACACAUGAGGGAAGCAUGAGCCGGAAAAGGAAAGUCCGGUACAAGCGCAGCAGAGGACAGAUAGGCAAAUCCGUCUGUCAACUCAAGGGCGCGAUGUGGAGCGAACCAAAGUAGCGAAGCAUGUGGAGCUUGUGUCGAGAAAAGCCGCUAUUGUGUUUGAUGUACCCGUACCGUAAACCGACACAGGUGGAUGAGGAGAGAAUCCUAAGGCCGGCGGGAGAAGCAUUGUUAAGGAACUCGGCAAAAUGACCCCGUAACUUCGGGAGAAGGGGUGCUCCAGAGAUGGAGCCGCAGAGAACUGGCCCAAGCAACUGUUUAGCAAAAACACAGGUCUAUGCAAAACCGAAAGGUGAGGUAUAUGGGCUGACGCCUGCCCGGUGCUGGAAGGUUAAGAGGAGAUGUCAGGAAACGAAGCAUUGAAUUUAAGCCCCAGUAAACGGCGGCCGUAACUAUAACGGUCCUAAGGUAGCGAAAUUCCUUGUCGGGUAAGUUCCGACCCGCACGAAAGGCGUAAUGAUUUGGGCACUGUCUCGACAAUGCACCCGGUGAAAUUGAAAUACCAGUGAAGAUGCUGGUUACCUGCGCCAGGACGGAAAGACCCCAUGGAGCUUUACUCUAGCUUGAUACUGGGGUUCGGUAUUGCAUGUACAGGAUAGGUGGGAGACUGAGAAGAUGUGUCGCCAGAUGCAUCAGAGUCGAUGUUGGGAUACCACCCCUGCAGUACUGGGCUUCUAACCUGCAGCCGUGACCCGGCUGGGGGACAAUGUCUGGUGGGGAGUUUGACUGGGGCGGUCGCCUCCGAAAGAGUAUCGGAGGCGCUCAAAGGUUCCCUCAGAAUGGUUGGAAACCAUUCGAAGAGCGCAAAGGCAGAAGGGAGCUUGACUGCGACACCGACGGGUGGAGCAGGUACGAAAG